CAAUAGCGUAUAUUAAAGUUGUUGCAGUUAAAAAGCUCGUAGUUGGAUUUCUGGUUUGAUGCCCUGGCCCGCUGCAAUUUUUGUAGUGUGUGCCGGCUGUGCGUCUGCCAUCCUUGUAGAAAAAGUUCCUACCCUUCACUGGGCCGGGUUCGAGAUCUACAUCUUUUACUUUGAGAAAAUUAGAGUGUUUCAGGCAGGCUUUCGCCGGAAUACAUUAGCAUGGAAUAAUAGAAAAGGACUUCAACCUCUUCUGUUGGUCUGAGGGGGCUGUAGUAAUGAUUAAUAGGGAUAGUUGGGGGCAUUAGUACUUGACUGUCAGAGGUGAAAUUCUCCGAUUUGUUAAAGACUAACUUAUGCGAAAGCAUUUGCCAAGGAUGUUUUCAUUAAUCAAGAACGAAAGUUAGGGGAUCAAAGACGAUUAGAUACCAU
rnacentral:rRNA from 1 species